rnacentral:lncRNA from 1 species
CCCAGCCAGCAGGAGGCAGAGCCGAUGCUCGUAACCACAGACAGCAAGCGCUUGAGAAAUGUGUGCGAGAGGAGGAACCAGUGUCCUUUCUGGGUGUGAGCAGGAGAGCUGCCAGUGCUCCGGUUAUCAUGCUUGCGUUCCAGAAGGGGGAAGGGGAUGCUGAAGCGCGCACCCACCUGCUGCUCCCGCUCACGUGCCGAACUCCAGAGAAUGUCCACACCUCACUGCCCGGUGAACUGGGAAACAGGCCUGGAUUCUGUGUGGCCACGCCUCAGCUAAACAUCAGGGGCCUCACGGCAAGAAGCACAGACCUGCCACCAGUCUGUCCCCAUCGUACCACGAGAGGACACUGGUCCGCAUGGUGUCGCAGCAUGGAAGCAGCAGAACAGAUCCCCUGGGCUCUGGGGUCCGGGGUCUGGCUGCUCCCCGAGGCUGGAAACAGUGCCUGGCGCCUGAGUGUGAUGGAGCAGAUGACCUGGUAAAGGGGGGGGGGUGGAGGGAGGGCUGUCCUGCUCCUGGGCCCCACCGCUCUCCAGCAAGAGCUGCUGGGGACAGUGCCACCCCUCCCUCUGCAGGCAGCCCCUGGUGGGGAGCCUUUGUCCCAAAAUAAAAGGGUGUGGGGACCGGAAGUGUGGCUCCCU